rnacentral:tRNA from 1 species
GAGGGUAGAGCUCAGUGGUAGAGCACAUGCUUAACAGGCAGGAGGUCCUGAAUUUAAUCCCCGGUACCUCCA